UAAUUUUUUAAACGGCUUCCCACAAAAUCCUUGAUCGUACAAUAUGCAUAUUAUUAUUAUUAUUGGAUAGAAAACAGUCUAUAGUUUCUAUAGGAGUUGAAAUUUUGUCUCUAAGUGGAACAGAGCCCAUUCUACAGCAAUUUCCCUGACAUGGAGUCAGAUUUGAGAAACGUUGGCCACUUUUCUGAAGUCAUUUAAACAGGCACUGUCGUUGCUAUGACUAUACGGACACUUCUUACGUCUUCCCCUGGAUGCCUUUACGUGAUGACGAUUCCAACGGGCUCGAUUGCUCGUUCACAGGCCCUACAAAUGAAAAAAACCUUUAGCUAGCAAGUCUUUUCUUGCUGCGUAACGCGCGUGGAAGACACCGACCCUCUCCUGUUCCAAGCGUUAGUUUAGCCUGUUAUAUUUCUCCGGUCAUCUUUUCACUCGUUAUAGGAGUUACAAACAUCACAAAGUAGUUAAUUUAAAGCGUUUUAUAGCAAUUUAUAUCCGUUUAGUGCGAUUUUGGGACAUUUAUUUUUGCAACGAUGUGAAAAGUUGGGAACGCUUUUCAGUUCAUCCCGAACGUAGUUGACAUUUCCACAUGGCAAGAGGACAGCUUUCCACCAAAAGACGAUUUCUCCCAAGAAAGGAUCCUUUGCCCAAGAUACUGAUGGAAGAACAGCUCAAGGCUCGAUCCGCUGUAGUCUCUACAACUGGACGCUCGCGCUCGGAUCACACUGGCACAGGAUGUCCAUGCACCGGUUGGCCUGAGGGAUGCACUCCUGUUGGACUGGAAAACAAAGAGACAUUUGUCUGGAUCUUUCUCUUCUGCCAUGGUAGAUGAGCUACAUUUUAUGGUAAAUACAGGGCCAUUUCUCUCUCACCGGAAAAUGGCAGCUACAGACCAGAGUAUCGUCACUGGGUUUUCCGGUGUUGUGCUGAAAAGCUCCCCCCUGCCAGACAAGAAGUUUGUUCUAUAGAAAGUAUUUGACUCUGAUGUGUGCCACAAAAUUAAGGAAAUUAGAAGGGGCAGAGGAUUUAUGAUUGAAUCAUACAGUUUUAUGUAUAGACUAUCCCGUGUUUAAUGAAAGGUAUCCAAUCACAAGUGAGAGAAACCAUUGACAUAUGAGACAGAUCUGGGUUGGCCAUACAUAGAAUCCAGAAAGCUAUACACUCUUAGAAAAAAAGUGAUAUCUUGAACCAAAAAGGGUUCUUUGGCUGUCCCCAUAGGAUAACCCAUUGAAGAACCCCUUUUGGUUCCAGGUAGAACCCUUUUGGCUUCCAUUUAUAACCUUUUCCAUUGAGGGUUCUACAUGGAACCCAGGAGGGUUCUAUCUGGAACCAAAAAGGCUUCUCCUAUGGCGACAAUCACAGAACCCUUUUGCAAGAUUUCACUAGACGGACCCUGACAUGGAACACCCAAGGUAAACUGAUGUACUAUCCAGGCCCAAUGUACUAUCCAGGCGCCCAAAGCUAAUCCUGGCAAUGGUGACUGUGUCCUGUUGAUUUCAUCACCUUAUAUUUUGUUGGCACAAUGUGCCUUGCAAAGCCCCAUUGGAGGCAUGAGAUGGAUGGA